GUCCGAAGAGCAAACUCCUCUUGGACCCUCCAGAACCUGGUCACUACCUCUUCCGGGUCCUUCUCUCAGGUCGCAAGUGGCACCCAAUACCGAAGAGUGCCACGCCUCCUCCAACCUCCAUCUCGCAACGAAUACGAAGAACACUCUCGUCGUCCGAUGUGAAAGGUCUUAAUGGCGACGCAAAUCUAUUCCACGUCGUUCUAGAGUUACUCUCAAGGUCACCUUGGAAACGGGAGGAAACCAGAGUACCUGGAGAAACCCCACACAUCCACGGGGACAGCAUACAAACUCCACACAGGCUGAGGAAGGAUUUGAACCCUGGUCCUUAGAACUGCGAGGCAGCUGUCUUCACCAGUUCUUCUUCUUCUUUUCCUUUCGACUUGUCCCGUUAGGGGUCGUCAGAGCACAUCAUCUCAGAUGAACGCAUAUUUUGUUUGCCACAGUUUUACACCGGAUGCCCUUCCUGAGGCAACCCCUCUGUAUUUAGCCGGGGAGAGAAGCUUACAGGACUUGGUAUUCCCUGGCAGUCUCCCAUCCAAGUACGAACCUGGGCCAAAUCUGCUUAGCUUCUACGAUCUGACAAGAUCGGGCGUUCUCAGGGUACCCUGUUGCUGCCUGAAAUAUACUUCC